AAAUUGAAGAGUUUGAUCAUGGCUCAGAUUGAACGCUGGCGGCAGGCCUAACACAUGCAAGUCGAGCGGAAACGAGUUAUCUGAACCUUCGGGGGAACGAUAACGGCGUCGAGCGGCGGACGGGUGAGUAAUGCCUAGGAAAUUGCCCUGAUGUGGGGGAUAACCAUUGGAAACGAUGGCUAAUACCGCAUGAUGCCUACGGGCCAAAGAGGGGGACC
rnacentral:rRNA from 1 species